rnacentral:rRNA from 1 species
AUAUCAAUAAGCGGAGGAAAAGAAACCAACAGGGAUUGCCUCAGUAACGGCGAGUGAAGCGGCAACAGCUCAAAUUUGAAAUCUGGCUCUUUCAGGGUCCGAGUUGUAAUUUGUAGAAGAUGCUUCGGGUGUGGCUCCGGUCUAAGUUCCUUGGAACAGGACGUCAUAGAGGGUGAGAAUCCCGUAUGUGAUCGGUUGCCUUUGCCUUGUGAAGCUCCUUCGACGAGUCGAGUUGUUUGGGAAUGCAGCUCUAAAUGGGAGGUAAAUUUCCUCUAAAGCUAAAUACUGGCCAGAGACCGAUAGCGCACAAGUAGAGUGAUCGAAAGAUGAAAAGCACUUUGGAAAGAGAGUCAAAAAGUACGUGAAAUUGUUGAAAGGGAAGCGCUUGCAACCAGACCUGCCUGCAGUUGCUCAUCCGGGCUUUCGCCCGGUGCACUCUUCUGCUGUCAGGCCAGCAUCGGUUCGGGCGGUCGGAUAAAGGCUUCGGGAAUGUAGCUCCUCUCGAGGAGUGUUAUAGCCCGUUGCGAAAUGCGGCCAGCCUGAACUGAGGUCCGCGCUUCGGCUAGGAUGCUGGCGUAAUGGUUGUAAGCGG